CAGGUUAUAGCUUAUUUUAAAGCUUGUUAUUUACAUUAAUAGGAAAAUUUACUGAUUUAAUCUGA
rnacentral:tRNA from 1 species